rnacentral:tRNA from 1 species
GGGGCCUUAGCUCAGUUGGGAGAGCGCUACAAUGGCAUUGUAGAGGUCAGGGGUUCGAAUCCCCUAGGCUCCACCA